UACGUAGGGGGCAAGCGUUAUCCGGAUUUACUGGGUGUAAAGGGAGCGUAGGCGGUUUAGCAAGUCAGAAGUGAAAGCCCGGGGCUCAACUCCGGGACUGCUUUGAAACUGUUGAACUAGAUUGCAGGAGAGGUAAGUGGAAUUCCUAGUGUAGCGGUGAAAUGCGUAGAUAUUAGGAGGAACACCAGUGGCGAAGGCGGCUUACUGGACUGUAAAUGACGUUGAGGCUCGAAAGCGUGGGUAUCGAACAGGG
rnacentral:rRNA from 1 species